UACGGAGGAUCCGAGCGUUAUCCGGAAUUAUUGGGUUUAAAGGGUGCGUAGGCGGCCAUUUAAGUCAGCGGUGAAAUUUUGCAGCUUAACUGUAACAGUGCCGUUGAUACUGUUUGGCUAGGAUUUGGUUGUAGUGUGCGGAAUGUGUGGUGUAGUGGUGAAAUGCUUAGAUAUCACACAGAACACCGAUUGCGAAGGCAGCACACUAAGUCAUUAUUGACGCUGAGGCACGAAAGUGUGGGGAUCAAACAGGAUUAGA
rnacentral:rRNA from 1 species